CAGAUCAAGAGUCACAUGUUCCAUGGACUGAGCCAGCCAGGCACCCCUCAAUGGCUACUCUUAACAAAAAACCACUAACCCACCAACUACAGGAGACACAGUCUCAAAUGAUCAUCAUUAAAGAUCUUCUCCUCUGAUGCGGAGUUUCCCCGCUUUCCUCCUAGAAGUUCCACACCCGUCCCCCACUCCCAGCUGUGAUUACAUUGGGCCUGCUUGGAUACUCCAGGACACACACUCCCUCUGAAGAUCCUUGACCCAAUCACUUCUGCAAAGUCUCUUUUGCCGUGUAAGAACUUGGAUCACUUGACCUGUUUAUUUAUUGUCUGUACCCACUGCCACCAGAUUCAUUAGUGCAAGAAUGCUGUCUGUUUCUUCUCUGUCCCGUCUCCAGCCCUGGGGAAAAGUGCCUGGCAUGCAGAGAGGAGCACCGCUCAGGCACUUGUUCUGAGCUCACGAACCCACUCGCUCAUGCUGCCCGGACUCUCAGACCCUCGCCGGGGUGCUCACUCCAGAUCCCACACGUCUUCCACGAGAACUUAUGCAGGCAGAGGAUGCUGGUGUGGCUAGACAGCCACGGGAGUGGUCACGCAUUGUCAGUGGGAACGGCAGUUGGUGCAGUCACUCUGGGAACCGUGUGGUAACGUCAACUAAAGCUGAAAGCUGCUAGCGCCCACCUCUGGGAUCUGGCAGUUCCAUACAGAAGUGAGUACAUGUGCUCUUCAUGAGGAAUGUACUAGAAACCCAUAGCAGCAUUAUAUGUACCAGCCCCCAAACUGGAAACCACGCAGACACACAUCAACAAGAGCAUGGUCAAAUCAUUUGGGGUUUGUUCACACCACACACUAGGACACAGCAAUAAGACUGACCUACCGCACACAGCCAAGUCAGUGGAUUUCACAACAUAAGCAUCUGAGCAAGACCCCAGGGAACCCAUCCCGUAUGAUUCCACGCAUGUUAAGCUGAGGAACAAGCCAAACUAGUGUAUGAUAUCAGCAGUCACAGUGGGACCCUGCUGUGUGUAUGUUGUACUUCGAUGGAAGAUUAAAAAAAAAGAGGAAUGUCUCUCUAAAAAAAUAUAUAAUUUCCUUGACCUGGACCCCUCUGGGUUGUACUGGAACUAAAGCACCUGAGGAUUUGAUUCAUAGUCUUUUCCCAUGAAAGUCACUUUGUCUGAAUCAGUUAACUCUUAUUUUGGUUUUGUUUUCCAAUUAGGUUUCUGUAAACUAAGUGCUCCUUGACUGGGAAGCUGGGGCUCUGUUGCCAUCUGGUGGCCAUUAGCAUGAUUACACUGCAGCUGUAGAUCAAUUCUCCUGGCUGCCUGGUCCAGGUGGCAAUGAAGCCCAGAAAUCUUUGAAGGUCCCUGAAUCUAAAACUUCUGAUUGUCAACACCUAUUCACCACAGGUUUUCUGGCCCUUACUCGAACAUCUCUCAUGUUGGAGAGUUCACUACCUAACCAGACAGCCAAGUCCAUUCUUGGGACCUCUCUCAUUUUGAGUAAAUUCUUUAUAAAAGUGAAAAAUUAAAAAAAAAAAUAAAA